rnacentral:rRNA from 1 species
UACGUAGGGUGCGAGCGUUGUCCGGAAUUACUGGGCGUAAAGAGCGCGCAGGCGGUCGUUCAAGUCGCGUGUGAAAGCCCCCGGCUCAACUGGGGAGGGUCACGCGAUACUGAUCGACUCGAAGGCAGGAGAGGGUAGUGGAAUUCCCGGUGUAGUGGUGAAAUGCGCAGAUAUCGGGAGGAACACCAAUGGCGAAGGCAGCUCGCUGGGACGGUACUGACGCUGAGACGCGAAAGCGUGGGGAGCAAACAGG